GCCAAUGAUGCUAAUACUAUUAGCUGAAAUGCGAUUAUUCGUAUUUUUGUUGAAAAUUUUGAACUAGGACGGUCUGAGGC
rnacentral:snoRNA from 1 species